AGGAUGUAGAUGGUCCAGAUGGUCAUCCUCGUCAAGUAGACUUAACCGAAGAUUUACCAGCAGCGUACAAAUUGAAAGAUGCUUAAUUAGUUUGUUCUAAUCUGAAACUGAUUUGUUUUGUAAUUAUUUGGUGAGUAGACCCAGUAGUGUUUUAUUGUUAGGCAGCAGAAACGAGGACGUGCAGGCCUGGUGAAGUAAAAGGUGUUGAGCUUGCAAGAAAAACGAUAGAGAGAGAGAGAGAGAGAGAUGGGUUUAAUUUCAUCAAAAACGAGGAGGCAGGGAAGGAAGGAAAGGAAGGAAGAAUAAACCAUGAUGAUCAUCUAUGAGAUCUAUGCCUUUAUGUCUAUGAAGUCUAUGAUUUGAUUAAUCCUUUCUUCCUUCCCUUUCUUGUGAAAAUGCUUCUUCUCUAGCUAGGUUGAAUAGGAAUGAACCAUCCAAUCUCCCAUGACUUUUCUAUUGAGUCUUCUCUGAAUUAAAAGUUGAAUCCAUACCUUUUCCUUCCUCCUUCAAUCACUUUCUCUCUUCUCAAUAUUAAUUACUCCAUUACACCUACACCCACACCCACAUCCCAGCCAACUCCUCCCUCGUCUCAUUUAUUACAUCCCCUCCCUCCCUUAAAUAGAACCAAAACCCAUCUCUCCCCCUCACCUCAAUAAUCCUCAUCCUCCUUCCUUCCAUAUCUUUUUAGUUAUUACUAUCCUGUCCAUCAGUUGCCGUGUUUGUUAGUUUUGAUAUGUUGAUUAGUAUGCAAACAACAGUUUGUGAGAAAUUCUAUGAUCAAGAUCUUCAUGUAUGGUUUAACAAAGGGUUUCUUACAGAGUUCUUUGGCAUUCUGUCCACCUCCUAUCAAUCUCGAUCGAGAUUUCUGUGUUUAUAUGGAGGUGGGCAUACUGCCAACUGAGCUCUGCCGGUCUCUCUUUGUAAAACCCUCGUGAUAUAAAUUUACCAGCUUUGCCCCAAUAUGCGACGUUUAUGUAUGCUGAUCUCUUUUUACUAGCUACUACUUAGCUCCUAUGAUAAAUACGAAGCUUAGUCUGUGGGUGCGUCUAACAGAUCAGUGGAAGUUGUGGAGCCACAAGCUUAUAUGAAUCCUUCGUAACUCGGUUGUUUCUGAAAGCAUGUUGUUUCAUCUUCUUAUAUUUUUACUUAUUGAAAGUGUGGAACCCUAGUUUUCAUUUGUGAUCUGGGUCUCCUUUGUUAUCCUUUAAUUUGACAUAUUCUUUACUUACCCUCAUCAUCAAAUAGGUGCCAGUUUUUUCUAUCUUUGUUCAUCUCAGUACACAGUAAUUACUUGUGAUCUUGUACGGCUGAUUAUUGGAUUACAUUCCCAUUUGUAUAUGUUUGCUAGGGCAUGUUCAUAUAGUUCUUUACUUUCUUCUA